CCCUUAGAUGUUCUGGGCGGCCCGCGCACUACAAUGGCGCUUUCAGCGAGUUCCUAUGUUGAAUUUUCCUGGGUAUUCUUGGAAGCGGCGUCUUGACUUGGGAUAGAUCCUUGUAAUUGUUGGUUUUGAACGAGGAAUUCCUUGUAAUCGCGGUUGAUCAGCUCGCGUUGAAUACGUCCCUGCCCUUUGUACACACCGCCCGUCGCUCCUACCGAUGAAUCGUCCGGUGAAGUUCUCAGAGUGGCGGUUCGUGGAGUUGCUCGCGAAGUGAAAUGGACCUCACGAUUUAGAGGAAGGAGAAGUCGUAACA
rnacentral:rRNA from 1 species